rnacentral:misc_RNA from 1 species
GAUGAAGAACGCAGCGAAAUGCGAUAAGUAGUGUGAAUUGCACAAUUCAGUGAAUCAUCGAAUCUUUGAACGCACAUUGCGCCUCCUGGUAUUCCGGGAGGCAUGCCUGUUCGAGCGUCAUUAAAAUCACUCAAGCUUAGGUUUACCUAUUGCUUGGUCUUGGAGAUGGAAGCCAAUUUAUUGGAAUCCUCUUCGAAAUUCAAUGGCGAAGACCCUUGCUCUCCCAAGUGUAGUAAUAACUUAUGUCACUGAAGGAAGCGAGAAAUCUUCUGCCGUAACCCCCAUAUUCUCUAUGAUUGACCUCGGAUCAGGUAGGGAUACCCGCUGAACUUAAGCAUAUCAAUAAGCGGAGGA